GCUAAAAUCCGUCUAAAUGGAAAAGAGAGAGAGUGAGAGAAGAAAAACCCUUAAACAAUGAGUAAUAGAUAAUACUCAGUACACCAGCGAGACCUCAGAACAGCUCCCAGGAUGGUAGGUGUGUUAAGAGCACUGUUACCAAUGCGGAUACCAACCAUUAGCAAUGACACCAAAGUGUGUAAAGCAACACAGCCCUCUGAAGACCAGGAAUGAAGAAGACAAUAUAGACAAAGGAGUGUUUAUCUUCCAGAGAAGUCCUAGACAACACAGUCCUAUGUCCUGGCUUACCCCUAACAGCUCCCUUUGGGCACAGAAGAUAGAAAGAGAUGCUCUGUGGUGCUGCUGCAUCUGCAGAAGUGCUUUACCUCCAGCCUUACAGGUCCCCAUAAUACACUGCAGGAACCCACGGCAUGAAAUGGGCAACACAAAAGGCUCUUGUGUCUUGGUGCUCAACACACUCAGCCUUUACCUCCCAGAGGGCACCAGUGGCAAUGGCCCGACAUAUUACGGUGACUGUCGGUUGUUAUCCAACUUCUUCUAUGUGUGCUGAGUCCAGUGAGAAAAGAAGUCAGCAGCCACAGUUCUCACUGAUUUGCAUCCUCUCUCUUCAGCUCUUACCUAUACCCUUCUACCAUCUUUCUUCUCUUAGUAACUGUGAAUUUACUACCCACAGUGUUUUAGACUUUCCUAGGAUGCACAGCGAUCAAGAACUCCUAAAUAGAUCUUAAACCAAACUCAAGAAAAACAGACAACAAAACGUCAACAAAUAGACCAGAUAUCACAUAAAUAUGAACAUGCUAGAGGACAGCAGAAGAGCAUCACACGACGUUUUAUUUUGUCUCGAAUAAAAUUGGAGCCUCAAUGGCAUAAAACUGCAAA